rnacentral:rRNA from 1 species
AGUUUGAUCCUGGCUCAGAAUGAACGCUGGCGGCGUGCCUAACACAUGCAAGUCGCGCGCGAAAGGGGGCAACCCCGAGUAAAGCGGCGGACGGGUGAGUAACACGUGGGUAAUCUGCCUGGGAGCGGGGAACAACCUGGGGAAACUCGGGCUAAUACCGCAUACGACCGCAGGUCUUCGGAUUUGCGAGGAAAGGUGGCCUCUGCUUGCAAGCUACCACUCCCAGAGGAGCCCGCGCCGGAUUAGCUAGUUGGUGAGGUAAUGGCUCACCAAGGCGACGAUCCGUAGCCGGCCUGAGAGGGCGAUCGGCCACACUGGAACUGAGACACGGUCCAGACUCCUACGGGAGGCAGCAGUGAGGAAUCUUGCGCAAUGGGCGAAAGCCUGACGCAGCAACGCCGCGUGGAGGAUGAAGGUCUUCGGAUUGUAAACUCCUGUCAGAGGGGACGAACGCUUGCGGGCUAAUCACCGCAAGCUUGACGGUACCCUCAGAGGAAGCCACGGCUAACUCUGUGCCAGCAGCCGCGGUAAUACAGAGGUGGCGAGCGUUAUUCGGAAUUAUUGGGCGUAAAGGGCGCGUAGGCGGCCAAGCAAGUCCUGGGUGAAAUCCCUCGGCUCAACCGAGGAACUGCCUCGGAAACUGCAUGGCUCGAGGCCGGGAGAGGGUAGCGGAAUUCCCAGUGUAGCGGUGAAAUGCGUAGAUAUUGGGAGGAACACCGGUGGCGAAGGCGGCUACCUGGACCGGUUCUGACGCUGAUGCGCGAAAGCGUGGGAGCAAACAGGAUUAGAUACCCUGGUAGUCCACGCUGUAAACGAUGGGUGCUCGGUAUCGCGGGUAUCGACCCCUGCGGUGCCUUAGCUAACGCGUUAAGCACCCCGCCUGGGGAGUACGGUCGCAAGGCUGAAACUCAAAGGAAUUGACGG